rnacentral:rRNA from 1 species
GGAGUCUGGGCCGUGUCUCAGUCCCAAUGUGGCCGUCCAACCUCUCAGUCCGGCUACUGAUCGUUGCCUUGGUGAGCCGUUACCUCACCAACUAGCUAAUCAGACGCGAGCUCAUCCUUAAGCGAUAAAAUCUUUUAUAGCUGUAUCAUGCGAUACUACUAUCUUAUGCGGUAUUAUCAGUCAUUUCUAACUGCUAUCCCCCUCUUAAGGGCAGAUUGCUCACGUGUUACUCACCCGUCCGCCACUAAGUUUAUCAAAGCAAGCUCCGAUAAACUCCGUUCGACUUGCAUGUGUUAAGCGUGCCGCCAGCGUUCGUCCUGAGCCAUGAUCAAACUACU